rnacentral:SRP_RNA from 1 species
GCGAGGAAGUGGCUUUGGGCUGAUGGGCAGUUGCAAGGAGCGGCAGUGCAAGGUCCAGAAGGAAGGCCUCAGCAGCCUGAAGCUGAAGUUUGUCUGAGGGGCAGUGUUGCCGCU